ACUAUACCUUGGUAUUGGCGUUAGGCGCGGAUUGUGUAGCAUAGGCGGGAGGCUUCGAAGCGUGGGCGCCAGCUCAUGUGGAGCCGCAAGGUGAAAUACCGCUCUGUUCUCGUUUGACGUCUAACCUCGACAAGUCAUCCUUGUCAGGGACAGUGCCUGGCGGGUAGUUCAACUGGGGCGGUUGCCUCCCAAAGAGUAACGGAGGCGCUCAAAGGUCCGCUCAGCCCGGUUGGCAAUCGGGUGUCGAGUGUAAUCGCACAAGCGGGCUUGACUGCGAGGACGACGGUCCGAGCAGGGACGAAAGUCGGAGAUAGUGAUCCGGUGCCGGCGCACGGGCGCGGCAUCGCUCAACGGAUAAAAGGUACCCCGGGGAUAACAGGCUGAUCAUUCCCAAGAGUCCAUAUCGACGGGAUGGUUUGGCACCUCGAUGUCGGCUCGUCGCAUCCUGGGGCUGGAGCAGGUCCCAAGGGUUCGGCUGUUCGCCGAUUAAAGCGGCACGCGAGCUGGGUUCAGAACGUCGUGAGACAGUUUGGUCUCUAUCCUCUGCGCUCGUUGGAAUCCUGAGGAGGCCUGCCCAUAGUACGAGAGGACCUGGGUGGACGAACCUCUGGUAUGCCGGUUGUCGCGCCAGCGGCACGGCCGGUUGGCUACGUUCGGGAGGGAUAACCGCUGAAAGCAUCUAAGCGGGAAGCCUGCUCCAAGAUUAGGAUUCCGUACGGUCUUGAACCGUUGUAGCCCGCAUGUUGAACACGUGUUUGAUAGGCCGGAGGUGGAAGCCCCGUGAGGGGUGGAGCCGACCGGUACUAACGGGCGACGGCGACACAAC
rnacentral:rRNA from 1 species